AUAGUAGUCUCCUCUAACUCG
rnacentral:miRNA from 1 species